UCCGUGCACUUCUUGCACAUUGCUCCAGACAUGUGCCAGCCAGACAUGGCCACCAAUGUAAGCCAGUCAGCACUUGGUGAUAAUCCGGAAUAUCCCUCCACCAGUGUCACACGGUGGCAAGGGCUUUCCCCUGUCGACACCUGCCUCUCCGGAGUCUAGAUGGAGAAACCGAAUCAUCGAGGGCUUGGUACUGUCGGGAACCAGUGUCCAGACUGAUGAAUCCAAGAGCGGUUCUCCGAGUCGGGAUUGUUUGGCAAGGUUCUGGAAGACGCCGGUGUUCCAGAAACGAACAACGGAGACUGACGACCCGACACGGCCAUCGAGGGCAUCCCAGAUCUUUGAGUCACCAACACACCGAUCCGACGGCCCAAAGUCGAAAUCUUGCGGUGAAACAAAACACAAGGCCUCGAGUUGAUGUGUUUGUGGAAAGCAGAAGGGUUCAACAGCUGUCUAUGACGUAAACACACUUCUUGUCUCUUGGCGUGGAGAAGUGAAGAUUGUCGCAAUGGCCAAGUUCGGAUCAAGGUGAUACCAUGAAUGGAGCUGUUCAACCGAACAUGGUCCAACUAUAUAUGCACUUGCCUGGUUUGUGAAGUUGCUUUUAACAAGUUCUGCUACUUUGAUGGAGCCUUCUGACUAUGAUGGAGCUUUCUGAUUAUGAUGGUGCCCUGCUUCAACUACUUGUUCUCGUCAAUAGAUUAUAAGUUGGUAGGAUUCAGACACCUUGGAGAGGUACAACUACAGAGAAUCGAAUAAAUUGUUUACAAACCGC
rnacentral:misc_RNA from 1 species